UUUGACUCUUGGUUAUAGAUAGUAGAGGACACAUAGGACUGAGUUUAAGGCAAGUGUUCGCAUCAGGAAAAACGGGUUUACACGUCACAGAAUCGUCAGAGCAAGUGUUUGCAUCAGGAAAAAACGAGUAUGGAUCAGCAAAAAAACUCGGGAAAUAUCAGUUUGGAAACUAAAAGCACAGUACUGAAGCACUGAAACAUCUUGCCACCUCGUCACAUAAUUUAGUGAGUCAACACCAUAAAUUAUAAUCUGCUGUUCGACGGGCGACGGACCUGCGCCAGCAACACAGAGAAGUAAAAAUAUCACUAUCAUAACAUGUCACUGUUCAGGCAAGGAACAUGUUCAAAUAACAAAUGGGAGAAAUCCACUACUCAUCUUUUUAGGGUCUGACGAUGAUGAUUUAUCUUGUGUUUCCAGCAGGUACCUGCGAAGGGCGCACAUAUAGCAUAAUAAUUGAUAUACUAAACAUCAACCAAAGGAGGAUUAUGCAAAGUUGGGGAAACAUACAGAGUCACAGGGCAUUCCUUUCUUGUUUCUGUUCAAGAACCUUGAGAGGAAAGGACAACAACUUGAUGAUUAUUAUCAGCAAAUACCAGCCAAGACAAACAGCGCUAUAGCUGACUGUCACAGAGCAUUCUGCUUUCUCGAACACAUGGAGCAGUUUGAUACUUUCCUAUCACAAAGCACUCUGGUUUGUCGAACAAAGACACUCUUCUUUCCCUAGUGUGUAUCUGCAGUGAAAAACUGUAUCUGCAGGAAGUAAACAACAGUUGUUGAGAAUCAAUUCUUAAGAAAAAUCAUUCUACAGCACCACAAAACUAAAAAGAGACAAGUUGUACCAAAAAAUGCAAUCAUAUGAUUCAUUCAUUCACUCACUGGAACAAAUUCCUUCCAAAAAAGCAGUAACUACCAGGCAAAAUGACUAUUAACUCUAGGUAGUUGAUUGUAUAUUUGCCACUACGAGCAAUACUGUAUACUCCCUCCGUCCGGAAAUACUUGUCGAAGAAAUGGAUACAAAUGGAUGUAUCUAGAACUAAAAUACAUCUAGAUACAUCCAUUCCUGGGACAAGUAUUUCCGGACGGAGGGAGUAUUUGCCAAAAACAGUAUACAGAGGCCGGGGGUCAAUCUCCUUUUCAAAAAUAAAAAUAAAUAAAUAAAUAAAUAUUUGCCAAAACAGAUCCAGGAGGAGGUAAUUGUUUCCCAUCAAAGAAACAUAGACAACAAAAGUGUUUUGACAGUCUUGAAAAAGACUAUUAACUCUAGGUAGGAACAGAACAGUGCAUCUCCUGCACACUAAAAAACUAUACACACUGGCCAAGUGAUCAAAAACUAACUUGACAGCAGCGAAAAUCACUUCUUGUGGUAAAAAGCACUGUAAAUCAGUUCUAGUCACUGACUUUUUUUGGCAUGCAGAGUGUGUAAGAUGAAUGAGUUAACAAAAUUACCACAUUGUUGGUAUUUGGCGGCCAUAACGAUUCUUCAGAAGCUUCGUCUGUACAGUGAGCGGAUCCGCGAAAUGAACCUGCUCCGACCAAUCGAACGAAAGAGAGAAAGAGGAACAGAAGCGAAUCAGGACUGUGGCGAAGAAGGAAGGAACAGAAGGAGAGGAGCUGCCGGCGCCGGACAUGGCCAGGUGCAUCCCCAUCUCCUCACUCCUCAGGGUCGCCGCGAACAACAUCGAACACCCGCCGGCUAAUCUUUUAGAGCGAAUCCCCAAACCCAAAUCCAAAUCAGAAUCAGAGGGAACAGAAUGAAUCCGAUCAAAUCGAAGAGGGAAGGGGGCGCAGCAAGAGAAUGACCUUUGAAGCUAAAGGGAGAGCUCCUUGCCCUCGAGGGAGAGGACGAGGUCGGGAUUUUCCGCGAAGCGGGGCGGGGGCUCGCUCGGGCCCUCUCAUGCGGGAGGUGGAGACUGGCUCUGCAGGCGCUUCCUGGACGCGCUGCGGGUACUGGAGGCAGCCGACGCCAUGGCCAUGGGACGCACCGCGGUCGGUCAAAGAAAAGAAUCGGG
rnacentral:lncRNA from 1 species